rnacentral:sRNA from 1 species
AUUAAAAUGAUUAGCAGAAGAACGAAAGUUUAAUCGGCGGUGGCUUAGUACAAUCUGAAAGGAUGUGGUGCCUAUGGGAGAAAUCUCUAACACUCAGAACUUACAGAAAGGAAAAGCUCAUACUAUGACAGUGUAUGAAACGCUACAACUAAUGCUUGCUUUUGGUGCAUUUGUUGUUGCGUUGCUAUCACUUGUA